AACGAACGCUGGCGGCAUGCCUAACACAUGCAAGUCGAACGAGACCUUCGGGUCUAGUGGCGCACGGGUGCGUAACGCGUGGGAACCUGCCCUUAGGUUCGGAAUAACUACCCGAAAGGGGUGCUAAUACCGGAUAAUGUCUUCGGACCAAAGAUUUAUCGCCUUUGGAUGGGCCCGCGUUGGAUUAGCUAGUUGGUAGGGUAAAAGCCUACCAAGGCGACGAUCCAUAGCUGGUCUGAGAGGAUGAUCAGCCACACUGGGACUGAGACACGGCCCAGACUCCUGCGGGAGGCAGCAGUGGGGAAUAUUGGACAAUGGGGGAAGGCCUGAUCCAGCUAUGCCGCGUGAGUGAUGAAGGCCUUAGGGUUGUAAAGCUCUUUUACCCGGGAUGAUAAUGACAGUACCGGGAGAAUAAGCUCCGGCUAACUCCGUG
rnacentral:rRNA from 1 species